rnacentral:lncRNA from 1 species
CUGUCACGAUGUCGGAAGCUAUCGUUGCCCCCGCCAUGACCACCAGCUCCCCUCGUCAACGCCAAGGUGCUCUGCCGGCAAUUCUUGCUCUGAAGCUGGGGUUUCCACUUGCGCUUUGGGAUUAACAGUCAGCGUCCACAUUUUGUCGUGAAAACAAUAUAGCGGCUACGGGAGGGCGGAGAACAUCAGGUUGACCGCAGUGGGUGCGGAGCUACGGU